AUCCUGUGAUUUUUAGUCUGAUCUCAAAAUCAGACCAUUGAGUUGGAUUUUACUCCUGAUUUAUUUACCCUUGAUUAUGUUGAGUAAAUAGUGAUAUAUCUAAUAAGUAUUAUUUACAAUGAUUUUCUCCCCCCAUACCACCAAUGACUUAAAAUGAAAUAUUUCAAGAGGUGAAGGAAUUAAAAUGUUAGAAAUAUAUUAGGAAUAUGGAGGGUAACUGCAGCAAUCUCAUAGCAUACACACCUUUCAUUAUAUAACCAGGCCAAGAAGCCUGUGCUGUUCCAGUAUUGAUCCGGUGCUCCUCCGUCACCAUCCGACCACAGAACCUCAGGCUGAUAGUUGUUCACUAACUCAUAGAGCUCUGGCAAUGUCUUAGAAACUGGAAAUUGCCGCUUAUGGAAUGAACUGGAUUCAUCCUCAAGGAAGAGCGGAUGAAACCAUUCAAAAAGGGAAUAGUACAGUCCAAAACGCAGGUUCUGGCUCUGUCACCCAGGCUGGAGUUCAGUGGUGCGAACUUCGCUCACUGCAUCCUCGACCUCCUGGGCUCAAGUGAUGCUCCCACCUCAGCCUACCAAGUAGCUAGGACUACAGCUUGGGAAAGUUCCUAGACAUCAGGAAAUCAGCAUGUUCUCAAGCAAAUACACUUGAUAGACAUUCAUCUCAGCAGGAUAAAUAUCUACAGGAGAAAAUCAUGAAGCUACCAGAAUGUGGCCAAAGGGAAAAAUAUCCUAUGAUCAUUCCAGAUUUUUUGUGUUGGUUCUCCUCUCCUAUUCCCAUCCC
rnacentral:lncRNA from 10 species